AAAAAGACAAACCGUGGGUUCUUGUGCCAACGUUUGACUGUCCGUCUUAUAUGAAAUUUUUUUAUAAUUAGUAUUUUCGUUGUUGUUAGAUGAUAAAACAUGAUUAAUAUUUUAUGUGUGACUUAUCUUUUUAAUUUUUUUCAUAAUUUUUUCAAAUAAGACGAACGGUCAAACGUUGGACACGAAAACCAAGGUUUGUCUUUUUU
rfam:Oryza glumipatula chromosome 4, whole genome shotgun sequence.